AAAUUGAAGAGUUUGAUCAUGGCUCAGAUUGAACGCUGGCGGCAGGCCUAACACAUGCAAGUCGAGCGGUAGCACAGAGAGCUUGCUCUCGGGUGACGAGCGGCGGACGGGUGAGUAAUGUCUGGGAAACUGCCUGAUGGAGGGGGAUAACUACUGGAAACGGUAGCUAAUACCGCAUAAUGUCGCAAGACCAAAGUGGGGGACCUUCGGGCCUCAUGCCAUCAGAUGUGCCCAGAUGGGAUUAGCUAGUAGGUGGGGUAACGGCUCACCUAGGCGACGAUCCCUAGCUGGUCUGAGAGGAUGACCAGCCACACUGGAACUGAGACACGGUCCAGACUCCUACGGGAGGCAGCAGUGGGGAAUAUUGCACAAUGGGCGCAAGCCUGAUGCAGCCAUGCCGCGUGUGUGAAGAAGGCCUUCGGGUUGUAAAGCACUUUCAGCGGGGAGGAAGGCGAUAAGGUUAAUAACCUCACCGAUUGACGUUACCCGCAGAAGAAGCACCGGCUAACUCCGUGCCAGCAGCCGCGGUAAUACGGAGGGUGCAAGCGUUAAUCGGAAUUACUGGGCGUAAAGCGCACGCAGGCGGUCUGUCAAGUCGGAUGUGAAAUCCCCGGGCUUAACCUGGGAACUGCAUUCGAAACUGGCAGGCUAGAGUCUUGUAGAGGGGGGUAGAAUUCCAGGUGUAGCGGUGAAAUGCGUAGAGAUCUGGAGGAAUACCGGUGGCGAAGGCGGCCCCCUGGACAAAGACUGACGCUCAGGUGCGAAAGCGUGGGGAGCAAACAGGAUUAGAUACCCUGGUAGUCCACGCCGUAAACGAUGUCGAUUUGGAGGUUGUGCCCUUGAGGCGUGGCUUCCGGAGCUAACGCGUUAAAUCGACCGCCUGGGGAGUACGGCCGCAAGGUUAAAACUCAAAUGAAUUGACGGGGGCCCGCACAAGCGGUGGAGCAUGUGGUUUAAUUCGAUGCAACGCGAAGAACCUUACCUGGUCUUGACAUCCACAGAACUUUCCAGAGAUGGAUUGGUGCCUUCGGGAACUGUGAGACAGGUGCUGCAUGGCUGUCGUCAGCUCGUGUUGUGAAAUGUUGGGUUAAGUCCCGCAACGAGCGCAACCCUUAUCCUUUGUUGCCAGCGGUUCGGCCGGGAACUCAAAGGAGACUGCCAGUGAUAAACUGGAGGAAGGUGGGGAUGACGUCAAGUCAUCAUGGCCCUUACGACCAGGGCUACACACGUGCUACAAUGGCAUAUACAAAGAGAAGCGACCUCGCGAGAGCAAGCGGACCUCAUAAAGUAUGUCGUAGUCCGGAUUGGAGUCUGCAACUCGACUCCAUGAAGUCGGAAUCGCUAGUAAUCGUAGAUCAGAAUGCUACGGUGAAUACGUUCCCGGGCCUUGUACACACCGCCCGUCACACCAUGGGAGUGGGUUGCAAAAGAAGUAGGUAGCUUAACCUUCGGGAGGGCGCUUACCACUUUGUGAUUCAUGACUGGGGUGAAGUCGUAACAAGGUAACCGUAGGGGAACCUGCGGUUGGAUCACCUCCUUACCUUAAAGAA
rnacentral:rRNA from 1 species